rnacentral:rRNA from 1 species
GAUGAACGCUGGCGGCGUGCUUAACACAUGCAAGUCGAACGGAAAGGCCCAAGCUUGCUUGGGUACUCGAGUGGCGAACGGGUGAGUAACACGUGGGUGAUCUGCCCUGCACUUCGGGAUAAGCCUGGGAAACUGGGUCUAAUACCGGAUAGGACGAUGGUUUGGAUGCCAUUGUGGAAAGUUUUUACGGUGUGGGAUGAGCUCGCGGCCUAUCAGCUUGUUGGUGGGGUAAUGGCCUACCAAGGCGUCGACGGGUAGCCGGCCUGAGAGGGUGUACGGCCACAUUGGGACUGAGAUGCGGCCCAGACUCCUACGGGAGGCAGCAGUGGGGAAUAUUGCACAAUGGGCGCAAGCCUGAUGCAGCGACGCCGCGUGGGGGAUGACGGCCUUCGGGUUGUAAACUCCUUUCGCUAGGGACGAAGCGUUUUUGUGACGGUACCUGGAGAGGAAGCACCGGCUAACUACGUG